rnacentral:tRNA from 1 species
GCAUGAGUAGCUCAAAAUAAGAGCGCCGACCUUGUAAGUCGGAGGCCGAGGGUUAAAGUCCCUCCUCUUGCU